rnacentral:rRNA from 2 species
AGGGAAACCGAGUCUUAACUGGGCGUUAAGUUGCAGGGUAUAGACCCGAAACCCGGUGAUCUAGCCAUGGGCAGGUUGAAGGUUGGGUAACACUAACUGGAGGACCGAACCGACUAAUGUUGAAAAAUUAGCGGAUGACUUGUGGCUGGGGGUGAAAGGCCAAUCAAACCGGGAGAUAGCUGGUUCUCCCCGAAAGCUAUUUAGGUAGCGCCUCGUGAACUCAUCUUCGGGGGUAGAGCACUGUUUCGGCUAGGGGGGCAUCCCGACUUACCAACCCGAUGCAAACUGCGAAUACCGAAGAAUGUUAUCACGGGAGACACACGGCGGGUGCUAACGUCCGUCGUGAAGAGGGAAACAACCCAGACCGCCAGCUAAGGUCCCAAAGUCACAGUUAAGUGGGAAACGAUGUGGGAAGGCUCAGACAGCCAGGAUGUUGGCUUAGAAGCAGCCAUCAUUUAAAGAAAGCGUAAUAGCUCACUGGUCGAGUCGGCCUGCGCGGAAGAUGUAACGGGGCUAAACUGUGCACCGAAGCUGCGGCAGCGACGCUUAUGCGUUGUUGGGUAGGGGAGCGUUCUGUAAGCCUGCGAAGGUGUCCUGUGAGGGAUGCUGGAGGUAUCAGAAGUGCGAAUGCUGACAUAAGUAACGAUAA